rnacentral:rRNA from 1 species
AACGCUGAAGGAGGAGCUUGCUUCUCUGGAUGAGUGCGAACGGGGUGAGUACGCGUAGGUAACCUGCCUGGUAGUGGGGGAUAACUAUUGGAAACGAUAGCUAAUACCGCAUAAUAGCAGUUGUUGCAUGAUAACUGUUUGAAAGGUGCAAUUGCACCGCUACCAGAUGGACCUGCGUUGUAUUAGCUAGUUGGUGGGGUAACGGCUCACCAAGGCGACGAUACAUAGCCGACCUGAGAGGGUGAUCGGCCACACUGGGACUGAGACACGGCCCAGACUCCUACGGGAGGCAGCAGUAGGGAAUCUUCGGCAAUGGACGGAAGUCUGACCGAGCAACGCCGCGUGAGUGAAGAAGGUUUUCGGAUCGUAAAGCUCUGUUGUAAGAGAAGAACGAGUGUGAGAGUGGAAAGUUCACACUGUGACGGUAUCUUACCAGAAAGGGACGGCUAACUACGUGCCAGCAGCCGCGGUAAUACGUAGGUCCCGAGCGUUGUCCGGAUUUAUUGGGCGUAAAGCGAGCGCAGGCGGUUAGAUAAGUCUGAAGUUAAAGGCUGUGGCUUAACCAUAGUACGCUUUGGAAACUGUUUAACUUGAGUGCAAGAGGGGAGAGUGGAAUUCCAUGUGUAGCGGUGAAAUGCGUAGAUAUAUGGAG